rnacentral:rRNA from 1 species
GAGGGAAAGUUGCAAAGCACUUUGAAGAGAGAGUUAAAGAGGACGUGAAACCGGUGAGAUGGAAACGGAUAGAGCUAGCGUAUCUGGCUUGCAUUCAACUAUUGGACUGCUGUCUUCAUGGUCGCUGCCUCCAGAUUGGGGUAGUUGCUUUGAGUGGCGGUAGUCUGGUGGUGCAUUUGCAAGUGGUGUGCGCCGAGACGCUCGGGGCAGCGGCAUGAGCUCGGUUUUGAGGCCAGCCUGCAAAGGUCUGGUACCCGAUCCGGGGGAGUGUUGUUUGUUCUGGGUGUGCCUGUCUUGGCAUGGCUUACGGGCUCGGGUUGGUGUCGAGCUGGUAGCCGGUAACGGUCGCAUGCGACACGUGCUGGUGGUCAGUUCGGUCCUAUUCGAGCUCUCAUGCUUACUCUCGGUGUAAAAGCUGGUCAUCUAUCCGACCCGUCUUGAAACACGGACCAAGGAGUUUAUCGUGUACGCGAGUCAUUGGGCGUUUAAAACCCAAAGGCGAAAUGAAAGUGAAGGUAUCCAUUAGGAGCUGACGUGCGAUCCUGUGCACCACGGUGUAUGGGCGCAGCAUGGCCCCAUCCUGACUGCUUGCAGUGGGGUGGAGGUAGAGCGUACGCGGUGAGACCCGAAAGAUG